AUGUUUGAUUCGGCAGCACAUAAACUAAACUGGAGUGAUGCAAAUAAGGUAGCGUGGAUGCUGCGUAAGGGUGACGUACAAAUUCGUGAAGUGGUCCAUAUUUUU
rnacentral:snRNA from 1 species